rnacentral:lncRNA from 1 species
CUAGAGGAAAUCACAGAAAAAUAAGUAAGUAAAUAAACUUAACAAUACAAAUUGGAAGGAACAUUAUAGUCAAGAUUAUUUUGUACAUAAUUUUAGAUCUUAAAACAAAAGGCAAUGUAAUACUAGUCUUAUCUUAGCUUCAGUAAGUACCAUUUGCAAUUACAAAGGUUAUUCCAAGUCAAGGUGAGAAUGCCAAAAGAAUACUUCCUUUCAAAAAAGUGGCUUUCAUCUAAUCUAUGAACUUAUUUUUAAGGCUUGCCUUAUGUUUAUCAAAUCCUCUUUUUUCAGCAUCGCAUCAUAUUUGAGCAACUCACCUUUUUCUACACAUCCUGUUAGUCAUAUCUUAUUCUUCUAAUCUAAGUCACUACCAUAACAAUCUACACAAGCAAAUCACAAUUUCAAACCAUGAAGGAAAGAAUUCCAGCAGCCUUGAUAGCCUUUUCUUUCU